AUGAGAUCUCACUGGGAUCUUGAAUCCCCUAAAGGGCCGUCGAAGACUACGACGUUGAUAGGUUGGGUGUGUAAGCGCUGUGAGGCGUUGAGCUAACCAAUACUAAUUGCCCGUGAGGCUUGACCAUAUAACACCCAAGCAAUU
rnacentral:rRNA from 1 species